AACAUCUAGGAUUUUUCUAGGAGCAAGAAGUAACCAAAAAUCUUUGUUGGUGCAAAAGAAGCAGCAAAACACGAAGAAUUGUCUCGGAGAAGUGACACAAAAUGGGUGACAAAGAGUGCAUAUGUGCGUUGUGAAUUGUUAGGCAAAUGAGCUCAUGGAGUGACAAGAAGUGUGACCAUUUGGGCCUCCAAGACACCACACAUAAACUCUAAGAAUUCUGCCGCAAGGCGCGUGGUGAAGAAUGGGCAAUAUUGGUGUGGCGGGAUAAGCCUACACCUCCCCCCGCGCAUACCACCUCAAGGUGCCAAUAAAUCUCAGCGAAGAGAGAGCCUGUCCCGUGUGAUAAAUGAUUUAACUUAAACCGGUCAUGAAUGAGUGUCUCACAGAGGUUAAAUUUAUGGUGCAACAAGAAGAAUUAUUCGUCUGUGGAGAGCGCGCAUAUAAAUUUCAUAAUCACACAAUCUAUUUAUUAGCUGAGUUAUUGGACGCAGAGGGGGUGUCAAAGUAUCACCUUUUUUGUCUGCCUUUCACCUCCGGAUGCUGCUGGAUGCAACAGCCUGCAGGAAUCUCCCACAUUCCACAGCCACCAACCUGCGCAAGGUGGUGCAAGGGAGAUGGCGUGCGUACAUCGCAUAACGUCCAAGGUGGGGGAAAAAUCAACAUGGCAACUGAUGCAGCAACAUACGCGGCUGUAGCUCCAGAAAAGUGAUAGUUUUGUGGGAACAUUUUACAAAAAUCUCGUGAAAAUUCAUCAAAAUACCCAUUAAAGGUGAUUUCUAACUGAAAAUGAGUGAAAAUUCAGUGAAAAUCGUCAAAAAUCUGUGGAAAAUGUCACUGUUGUGUUGGCUGUGCUUCAAAGGGGGCGUUACCUAAUGAUUUAUGACAGAGAGCACUGUGUAAAAGUUUAUUUUGGUUAAUUUUUGGCAGAAAAUUAAGGAAAAUGAAGCCAUCAUUGCCAAUAAGCGUCAUCUAUCUGUCGCACAUUUCAUCCAAAUGCCUCGCCUCUUUGUCCAUGAGGAGGAAUGAAACAACAUAAUGUUCCAGGUUGGAAAACAUCAAGCAUAAGCUGCGCAUGGUAGAGCGAGAUGGAGGUAUGAGUGGAAUACCAUCCCUCUAAAAAAAAACGAGAAAGCCCAAUAGAGCCGCCGCAGAAGGAAGAAACGUCCCUAUAUAUGCCAUGGAGGAUAGAAGAAAACCCUCACGAAGGAACUCCAUGGUCGUAAAGUAGGAGAAAGUGAUAAAAAUAAUCAAAUUAUUCUCACGACAAGUGUUUCACCCUCUGUGUGCUCUUGUACGGGGGGUUGUGGGGGUGGUAUGAAAUAAAUUCCUUGGGUGAGUGAGAAGAGCCCCUAAAAAACGGCAGACCCUGAAAAAUCCAAAGUGGUGUGUGCCGAUGAAAGUCAAACUGAGAAUGCCAACAAGUGCAGAAGAGAAGCGCGCCAGUAGCCAGAUGAGCAUGGGUCGUGUGUUUGGUAAAAUUUUACUACUUUUUUACGAUCUUUUUAUGUGCUUUAAAGCGGUUCGUUUUUCAUUACAACACACACGAUAGCGCCGGGGCACAGAGAGGGGUUUUCCAACACCGUAUUAUAAACAAUUCUAGUUAUACUAAAUAGACAUCAAACGCUCUCCAAAAUGGAUUUUUAUGAGGUGUUUAGCCGUUUAUUUUGAUGGUUUCGGGUGGUCGUAAAAUCAACUGUGUUGUGCUUGGUGCUCCUCUCAACGAGCCCCGUGAUUUAUGCCAUCAAAAAAGUGACAUUAUUAAUUAAUUUCCACUCAUGAUAGAGUCACUUUUCGGGCAUGUUGUUUAUUUAUUAUCUCACGCGGGGCCUUUUUAUUUCCUUCUCUCCGCCGAAUGUCAAUUUGUAUUCUCAACCACCUUGUUUGAUGGCCCCUUAAUUGCCAUAAACAUGCACUUUUAUGAUCAAAUAAACUUUAUGUUCCGUCAAUCAGCAUGGUGUUUUUAUUUUUAUGUACUUACAGCUCCCGCCCCAAUUUUCCCACGCCCUGUUUAUACCUACAAGUAUUGUGGAUUGAGAUUAUGUGGGGAAAAAUAAAUGGAAGGAAUGUUUCUUUCUUUGCCUCUUUUUUGCUUCUUUUAGAAGGGAUUUUACUGAAUUAAGAAAAUUAAAAGAGACUUGAAAGAUUUUUUGGAAAUGUUAAAAUUUGAUUUUGAAGAAGUUAAAAUCUUUUAAAUUAAUUGUAAUAAAAAUCCCUUAAGGAAAAAGGUGAAAAUUCAUCAUUUUUUCUUAAUUUCAACGAGUAAAUUUAAUUGAAAAUUCACCCAAUUAAUUAUAACUUUAUCAAAAUUAUUUUUUAAACAAAUGAUUGUUUAUUUCCAAAGAAUUAAAUCACAGACAAUAUAGAUGUUGACAUCCUAUACGAAUUAAUGGCACCAGGCGUCUCCAUCUUGCUUUUCUAUCGCUUUGAGCUAUAAUCAAAAUGAAUUUCCGGGAUAACAUUUAGGACUCAUCAAUUCUUUAGAUUAUUUUUCGUAUUUAGAGUCUCAAAACUGGUACCAGGCGUCUCCAUCGUAAUUUCUGUUCUUUGUUUAGCCAAAGUUCAAUCUGUGUGCUUAACUAAACUUUGCAUAUUAAAAAAAAAUCAGGUCAAAGGAAUGUUUAGAAAAUAAUCUUUUUGCUAAAAAAAAAUGAGAAAUCAAAAUGGAGACGCCUGGUGGUUAUCAAGAGAAAGAUCUUUGAUAAAAUAUUGCCUUUCAAUUUCCUGAAAACUUUUGAAAAUAAACUCAAAACAGUUAGUUAUGCUUUAUUUGAUCUCAU